CCUGUGAUCAUGUAUUCAACGGCCGCGGUAUUUUGACCGUGCAAAGGUAGCGCAAUCACUUGUCUUUUAAAUGGAGACCUGUAUGAAUGGCAUAACGAGGGCUUAACUGUCUCCCCUUUCUAGUCAAUGAAAUUGAUCUCCCCGUGCAGAAGCGGGGAUAACAACAUAAGACGAGAAGACCCUGUGGAGCUUUAGACACAAAGAGAGCUCGAGUUAAAAGAGCUCGUAUAACAGCCUAAACCCAUCGAACCCUUUCUUAAUGUCUUUGGUUGGGGCGACCGCGGGGUAAUAGAUAACCCCCACGUAGAAUAAGGGACACCCUCCCCUAAAGCAAGAGCUACAGCUCUAAUUAGCAGAACCUCUGACUUUAUGAUCCGGCAAUGCCGAUCAACGAACCGAGUUACCCCAGGGAUAACAGCGCAAUCCUCUUCCAGAGCCCAUAUCGACAAGAGGGUUUACGACCUCGAUGUUGGAUCAGGAC
rnacentral:rRNA from 1 species